AGAAAGACUCCCGGUGAAGCGUCCGAGAUCCACGUGAAUGUUAUAAAGAUGGAGUUUAUUAAGGAGGAGAGCGAAGACGUGAAGAUUGAAGGAGCAUUUAGCGUGAAGGAAGAAGAUACUGACACACAGACCGCCAGGUAUCCCAGAAUGCAUUUCACACCAAUCGGCGAGCGCUAACGGUGGAGGGGAAAACGGCAACAUUACCAAAAUAUUACUGGUGUUGUGCCAUGAAGUGCAAUUCUAAGCAAUUCAAGCUAGAAUGUAGUUGUUUAAAACUUAAUUCUUAAAGAGUUUAUUAAUAAAAAUGGCGCCUAUGUGAAAGUUUGCUGUGGUGGGCUCCAGGCGCUCAGCGCCCAUGAUAGUCCUUCUGACGGUUGUUUCUGUAGUGCUUAAACAGUAGGUUUGGCUUUAUCUAAUUGGAAAACUUUGGUUUAAUCAAUCAUUUCUUCCAGCUCGUAUCAUUUUGGCUGAUCACGGAGUUAUGGUUUCUGAAGUAUUUAUUUAUUAAUUGAGUGAAUUGUUUGCUUUUAUUUUCGAACGCAUAAGUCUUUUAUACUUUUACAAUGUCUGUUUUUCAUUAAAAUUGACAUUUAACAAAAAA